rnacentral:rRNA from 1 species
CUUCCGGAGCUAACGCGUUAAGUAGACCGCCUGGGGAGUACGGCCGCAAGGUUAAAACUCAAAUGAAUUGACGGGGGCCCGCACAAGCGGUGGAGCAUGUGGUUUAAUUCGAUGCAACGCGAAGAACCUUACCUGGUCUUGACAUCCACAGAACUUUCCAGAGAUGGAUUGGUGCCUUCGGGAACUGUGAGACAGGUGCUGCAUGGCUGUCGUCAGCUCGUGUUGUGAAAUGUUGGGUUAAGUCCCGCAACGAGCGCAACCCUUAUCCUUUGUUGCCAGCGAUUAGGUCGGGAACUCAAAGGAGACUGCCAGUGAUAAACUGGAGGAAGGUGGGGAUGACGUCAAGUCAUCAUGGCCCUUACGACCAGGGCUACACACGUGCUACAAUGGCGCAUACAAAGAGAAGCGACCUCGCGAGAGCAAGCGGACCUCAUAAAGUGCGUCGUAGUCCGGAUUGGAGUCUGCAACUCGACUCCAUGAAGUCGGAAUCGCUAGUAAUCGUGGAUCAGAAUGCCACGGUGAAUACGUUCCCGGGCCUUGUACACACCGCCCGUCACACCAUGGGAGUGGGUUGCAAAAGAAGUAGGUAGCUUAACCUUCGGGAGGGCGCUUACCACUUUGUGAUUCAUGACUGGGGUGAAGUCGUAACAAGGUAACCGUAGGGGAACCUGCGGUUGGAUCACCUCCUUAC